GUGGGGAAUAUUGGGCAAUGGAGGAAACUCUGACCCAGCGACGCCGCGUGAGGGAUGAAGGCCUUCGGGUUGUAAACCUCUUUCAGUAGGGAAGAAGCGAAAGUGACGGUACCUACAGAAGAAGCACCGGCUAACUAUGUGCCAGCAGCCGCGGUAAUACAUAGGGUGCAAGCGUUGUCCGGAAUUAUUGGGCGUAAAGAGCUCGUAGGUGGUUCGAUACGUCGGAUGUGAAAAUCAGGGGCUCAACCCCUGACCUGCAUCCGAUACGGUCGAGCUAGAGUUUGGUAGGGGAGACUGGAAUUCCUGGUGUAGCGGUGGAAUGCGCAGAUAUCAGGAGGAACACCGAUGGCGAAGGCAGGUCUCUGGGCCAAUACUGACACUGAGGAGCGAAAGCGUGGGGAGCGAACAGGAUUAGAUACCCUAGUAGUCCGGU
rnacentral:rRNA from 1 species